ACUUUCAACAAUGGAUCUCUUGGCUCUGGCAUCGAUGAAGAACGCAGCGAAAUGCGAUAAGUAGUGUGAAUUGCAGAAUUCAGUGAAUCAUCGAAUCUUUGAACGCACAUUGCGCCCCUUGGUAUUCCAUGGGGCAUGCCUGUUCGAGCGUCAUC
rnacentral:rRNA from 1 species